UUGAAAACAGGAAAAUUAUGGUCGAGAAGCAAUAAAGAGCUCAGUUAUCUGCCGCCUUUCACUUUGUCUUGUUGCCUACACAGAUGCAGAAUGCCAAAUUUCUGCUGUUUCUCUGGCAGUGCCUUGCGUGGGCGCUCCCAGAGCUUCCUUUUCCUUAGGAGACCGCGGGACGGAGGAGAAUGCAAUCCAUGGCCACUUCUGGGGUGUGCAGUGCACAGAGGAUGCCAUGCAGCAAACACAGAGGUCUAAUCACUCAGUGGUGAUUACCAAGUCCUGGGCUCAUCUGUUGAGGGGAGUCAUUACAAACAGUACUCUGGAGAUCUCUCUAACAAAAUAUUAGUGAAAGAAGGGCCUGUCACAUGGAGCAACAUCCCCAUUUCUAUUAGUGGUGAUGAGAAGUAAUUAGUUCUACAGGGUGACACCGUUUUUGUGUGAUUUUCUUGCAAGCCUAAGAAAAUGGUGAAAUAUAUUUUCCUCUCUGGGCUCAGAACAGGGCCUAGAAAUCAGGUAAACUCUCAGAUUUCAAAAGCAUUCACCUUUUCUUAAACUCCAGGUACUACAUCAGUUUUAAUAAGGUGCAAACAGGCCUAAAAUUAAAGUAAUAUGAGUGUGAUUGUUGGCUUUUGUUUUAAAUCUCUGUGGAAUCCCUCAGAUGUAGAAAGAUUCUCUUGUAGUAAAGGACAUGUCAGACAUCAUGUUGGAAGUGGUACUGACUGGAGCCCAAGUACAAAAUAAGGUGAACCUCUCUAAUGAGCUCUGUUUUGAAGCUGAAGGAAAAAACAAAAAAGA